GGAACGACUCUUGGCAAUGGAUAUCUUGGCUCUUGCAUCGAUGAAGAACGUAGCGAAAUGCGAUACUUGGUGUGAAUUGCAGAAUCCCGUGAACCAUCGAAUCUUUGAACGCAAGUUGCGCCGGAAGCCAACAUGGUCGACGGCUCGUUUGCUUGGGGGUCAAAUG
rnacentral:rRNA from 1 species